AUACAGAGGGUGCAAGCGUUAAUCGGAUUUACUGGGCGUAAAGCGCGCGUAGGCGGCUAAUUAAGUCAAAUGUGAAAUCCCCGAGCUUAACUUGGGAAUUGCAUUCGAUACUGGUUAGCUAGAGUGUGGGAGAGGAUGGUAGAAUUCCAGGUGUAGCGGUGAAAUGCGUAGAGAUCUGGAGGAAUACCGAUGGCGAAGGCAGCAAUCUGGCCUAACACUGACGCUGAGGUGCGAAAGCAUGGGGAGCAAACAGGAUUAGAAACCCCGGUAGUCC
rnacentral:rRNA from 1 species